CCCUUAGAUGUCCUGGGCCGCACGCGCGCUACACUGAUGCAUUCAACGAGUCUACCUUGGCCGAGAGGCCUGGGCAACCUUUUAAACGUGCAUCGUGAUAGGGAUAGAUUAUUGCAAUUAUUAAUCUUGAACGAGGAAUUCCUAGUAAACGCAAAUCAUCAAUUUGCAUUGAUUACGUCCCUGCACUUUGUACACACCGCCCGUCGCACCUACCGAUUGAAUGGUCCGGUGGGGACUCGGGAUUUUUACCAGUUUCCUUCAUUGGGAAUUGGUGAGGAGAACUUGUCCAAACCUUAUCAUUUAGAGGAAGGUGAAGUCGUAACA
rnacentral:rRNA from 1 species